GCCGUUAUUAUUAUUCAACUUGAUGAUGGACUAUGUUGCAUAAGUCUCCAUUAUAGAUUGGGCGAAACCGCCACUGGAUACCCGCCAAGAGAGCAAUAGAAAUAAAACUGGAGAUGAGGUGAUAUCGGUGAGUCAUUUUUAUUCCGGGGAGGUGGGUUGGUGGGGGACUUACUCCGAAAGUAUUGCGACCCACUUCUUAAGCCGUUACAUAAUCAGCGAGGAGUCGGACUGCAUCCGAACGAUAAACAGUGGUAGCUGUAGCAUGAGCGAGUGAAUGGAGUAGGAGGUCCGGUCGGUGCGCAAGCUAUCUUUAGAUUGGCGGGUUAACCUCAUGCAGACCUUGCCUGGAGCCAAAAUGAGAAAGAGAAGCGGAGAGAUUACAUGGCUCACAUGCUGGAGCAACACAGUGCAAAUCCCUCCUUCCAGUAUGUUGUUUUCACCAAGCAGCCUGUCAGAAACAAUUACGUUGGUCUCAAGGAGUUCUGUCACGAGAGAUUCGAACUGAAAGUGACUGGCAACGGAGGCGAAACGGUCGCAACCCCUCCACCCCUCCCCAGCGCCUCGGCUCGAGCGCUACCUUGAUGGUGACUGCCUGUAAUUUGAAACAUCACACAGGAACGCGUAGAAUGAAGUGUCCUAAAAACAUGACGCGCUUUGAUCACAGGCACCCAAAAUGCCCCGGUGAAACUGACAACGGUUUGAGAUGGAAUUGGCCUCCCAAGGACAUACACCGCGAGCGUUUUCUGAUCAACACGUCGGCGGGCUUUGGCUGGAUGACGCUGCCGGCGGGGUUAGCCUCGUUUUCCUUUCCUUGAUCGGAUUCCCAACGCGUCGUCGGGAAGGUGAAGAUCACUAAACAAGUCUAGUUUAUUGAUGUGUUCUAGUACUACCUGGCGACAACCAUGACUUUGAAUAAUAUAUCGCCCUAUAUAGCAAGUGAUUGAUCUUGACUUGAUGUGCUGUGAGGCGGCUAACAAACUCCCCCCCCCCCCACACGCACAUCCACACAAACCUCUAAUUAAAUAAUACCGUAACUUGUUGCUAGGCAGGAUUCCAGGUCAAACUGUGCUUAAGUACAAAUGUAC